rnacentral:rRNA from 1 species
UAGGUCCCAAGGGUUGGGCUGUUCGCCCAUUAAAGUGGUACGCGAGCUGGGUUCAGAACGUCGUGAGACAGUUCGGUCCCUAUCCGUCGCAGGCGUAGGAAAUUUGGGAAGACCUGUCCUUAGUACGGGAGGACCGGGAUGGACGUACCUCUGGUGUACCAGUUGUCCUGCCAAGGGCAUGGCUGGGUAGCUAUGUACGGAAUGGAUAAGCGCUGAAAGCAUCUAAGCGCGAAG